GACGAACGCUGGCGGCGUGCCUAAUACAUGCAAGUCGAACGCAGUGGGGACGGGUGAGUAACACGUGGGUAACCUCCCAUCAGAGGGGAUAACACUUGGAAACAGGUGCUAAACCGAUACUGAUGGAUGGCCCCGCGGUGCAGUAGCUAGUUGGUGAGGUAACGGCGAACCAAGGCCACGAUGCAUAGCGGGCCUGAAGGGGGGAUCUGCCAACCUGGGACUGAGACACGUCCCAGAUUGCUACGGGAGGCAGCAGGAGGGAAUGUUCGGCAAUGGACGAAAGUCUGACCGAGCAACGCCGCGUGAGGGAAGAGGGUUUUCGGAUCGUAAAACUCUGUUGUUAGAGAAGCGGUAUCUAACCAGAAAGCCACGGCUAACUACGUGCCAGCAGCAGCGUAAUAC
rnacentral:rRNA from 1 species